CUCCUCGUAGCCUUGCGCGCUGUGCAGCACGAGCACGGCCAUCAACACGACUGCGAGCAGCUUCAUGGUGUGGCCUGCAAGACAUCGCGAAACAUCCUCGUACAGGAUGUUACCAGUGAUGGUGAUUGGAGAGAGUGUUCCAGGAACAUCAAUGCUUGCUUGUGAUGGCUGCUUCAACGUCUAAAUAACCACAGCUGAAAUGAUGACCGAACACGAGUACCUAUUGCUUCAGCAGCAGAAAAAUAAACAGACUGCCAAAAGAAAAAAUAUACAUAUAUAUCAGCAAGAAUAUAGGAAAUGUUGGGAGACCGAACCGGAACUUUAAGGUUAGUAAACAUGUAUUCUUUAAACCGAGUUUAAAUUUGUACAUAGUAUAUAUAGUUGUAGAUACUGAAUGUUAUUUUUCAAAAUUAUUAUGCUCUGUUUGGGCAGAAAAAUAGGAAAAUUUUAACACGCAUUUGUCUAUAUUGAAUGUGAAAAACGAGGUUCCAGAGAGAAUAAUUUUAGCUUUCAAACAGGGUGUACAAUGAAAACUAGGGGUUUAUUAAUCGUUAUCUAGGGGGAUUUCAAAUUGGUCCUAGGAGGAACACCCUGUAAGCAGUUGGCAUCACUGAGUCUGAUGCGCACCGGCUUACGGUGCGAGGGUUGCUGAGUUGGAGUCCCGGCUAAGGCAUUGGUUUUAAUUUACGUACAGAUAUUUGAUCAAUGAUAUGAUAAUGAAAAAGGCUUUGAAUGCGAAAUGAAAUGACCUUAUGGCCAUUGGCGCACUGCCUAAACCCACGGUAUGCUAAACACCAUCUAUCGCAUUUCUACUUCAUUGGAAUUUUCAAGAUUGGUAUAAUCUAGAGUACAUUAUUAAAACGUAGUUUCCAUUAUUGUGUGAAUAGUCUGUCAUUGGGUAACAACAAAAUCUUCUAAAAUACAAUUCUAUUACUACACAUGCCAUGCCAUGGAUAAUCUUAAACAAACUAACAGAAUAUGUGUACAAAUUAUAUCAUGUACGGUUGUUAGUUGCCACUAUUUCCAAUUUUGUACAGACCUGUAGCUCAUGAGCAGGAUAAGACAGGAAGCAGUAAAUCACAUGUAGUCAAGCUUUAAGUUUUUUUUUUAUUAUUAUUAAGUGGGUCCAUAUACGCGGUGUAAUUUUUUCCAUGGCAUUUUGAGGUUUUGUUGUCUCGAACUCAUUAAGCAGAACAUUAGUGCAAUAUGACAUACAGUAGAAUCCCGCCGAUGCGACCCCCUGUGAUGCGUCCAUUCCGCUUAUACAACCGUUUUUUGAGAAACCGUGAAAAAUUUGAGCAGAGAAAGUCGAAAAUUUGAGUAAAAUCGGCCGAAAAACAAGUCUGUUACACUUUGUUGGGCGCUAUGUGUUAACAUUUAUCUUGGCGAGCGCUGUACUGUAAGCAGGCAGGCAUACAGAAGACGGCUAAAAAUAGAUACCACCCCUCUAUAGAUUGUCCACGCUAGCCAAUAAUGGUAAACUGUGUGCAUCACCUGAUAGCAUCUACGCGUGCGUCUAUUGCCAUCCUGGUCCCGUGCCAUUGUCUUGCGACUGGUUAGUGUGAUCUUGCCAGCUGCAUCUCAGGUGUCACUUCCCACACAAAUCAGUGUUCACUGUGUUAACGACGUCGCCAAAUGUUUGGUUCUCGGCUAUUCUUCUAUAACAUCGCUGACUUCGCACAUGCGCAGAUAAACAAAAACAAAAUUGAGUGGAAUUAUGCUGUACACCUCGGACUCGCAUACCCCAAACAAUCGGUUCCGAUAAAUACUCGCGCUAAGUAAAUUCGCGUCACGCGAGUUCGGCUAUGCUAGCCGUCUUGUGGUUAUUUUCGUUCAAAACGUGGCGAAGGAACUUGUGUGGAUCAGGUAGAAAACAUUCGGCAAUAAACGAAAGAUAUAAGAACAAUUCUAUCCUGAAAUGCUGUGACAUUUUUUUGGAGUAGAUAAUCACAGCGACAGACAGACAGGAUGCGCUCCCGCCCUUGCUCUCAGCGAUGUUUAUUUUGACAGCUCAAGCAAUUAUCUUUUUCACGUCCCUUCACAGCGUAAAAAAAAAAGAAAAAAAAUACACGACCUGGCUUUAGUCGCACGCGGUGUGGGAGGGGAGGAGAAUACUGAUAGUUUCUCACGCAGAAGGUUGAAAAGGGAGGGAAUGUGUUGAAAUGUUAGCUGGAAAAAAAAGGGGGGGGGGGUGUUUUUACAUGGUUUGUGGCUCUGUG